CAAAGCCCGGCGCGGGCUGGCAGGUGCCUCCCGCUCCCCGCCGGGCGCUGCGCUCCCCCCGCCGGGCUGAGACCCGGCCUGACAUUUAGUGCCUACUUGAAUGUCACAACGCUCCUCGCAGCAUUAUGCACGGCUCCUAUUCAUAAGAGGUCGAUUAGAGCACAAAAUGGCAGGUCUCUUAGGCACUUGAAUCUCACAAGUUUGACACAUGAAUCACCCCCUUCAUUGAUACCGAUCACCCAACAUCACAAGACAUCCCCAUCUCUCAGCGUGGACUCCCCCUAUCUGCAAGGGUGAAACUGGAAUGAAAUGGUCCAUCCAAGUCUUACUGAGACUGACAGGCUGGAGACCUGGCUUUGAAGUUUUCUAUGGACAAAAGUGGUUACUUUUGUAUUUCUACUGAAGAGAUCAGCCAGCAAGCUGUGGGCUUCUUAUGAUUGUAACCUCAUGGCUCACCCCAGCAUUCAGGCCACUCGCCCCUACUGAUGAGCACCAAUAUGCCACACUGGUUCCCUGAAGCCUCCGUCUCAUCCCAUGGGUUCUCUCCUCACCACAUUUAGGCCUUUGUGCUAUCAGAAAGUUUGCAGGUCAGCGCCUAGAGAAAACAGCUAAGCAAUGAUAUUAAAGAUCUACUGAAAAUGUUUAUAUCUUACCUUAUAAACUAUGGUUUCACAAUUUAAGCCCCACAGCGCAGCACAGUAAUUAAGGUUGUUAUACCAAUGCUUACCUAUAAACAGUGAGCUCUGCAUACAGGGAUGGGGCUACUUGAAGCUGGAAAAUAUCUUGCUCUUUCUGGGUGCCAUCAGAAAGAACACUGCAGCGUGUUUAUCAUUUGUUGAAAGUUUGUUGAUACUGCCCUGUCUGCAGCUGAUUAGGUAGGUGCCAGUGUCUGGACUGAAAUACCCCAUCUUGUGUUGCGAGGGGGACUGGACAAGGUCUAGGAUAUUUUAGGAGGAUCUCAGAGAUCAGCAAUUGGUGAUAGACAACAUGUUCCCACUUUCAGGGCAGUUUCCCCAAAGAAUUGAGCUGUUGAAGGCAGCGCUCCGUGGCAGUGCCAUGCACAGCCUGCACCGUGAGGUGGCUUCAAAGAUGGCGUCUCCCUCCUUACCUCAGCGGCCGCCCCCAUGCCAUCUGCAGCAUCCCCAGCCCCAGGCAGCCCCAGGAGGUGGCUGUUCACAGCCAACACCUGCCAUGCUGGCCCUGUUUGUCCCCCCUGGUUGAGCCAUGCCAGGAUGCCGCAGUCUGGCACAAUGUCUCCAGCACUGGAGCCUCACAAUCAAGGUGGCAGCGCCACAAAGCUGUGGCAGCCAGCAGCCAAGAAACUCUGCCACCAUACUGGCUACCUGGGAAGGGAGAGGACUGAGAGACAGGUUUUGGGGCAGAGCUUACCCACAGCUUUUCCUCCAAAAGCAGCUAUAUUCCACCGAGCCGAAAUGCAGCCCCUCUGGCCCAGCAGCUGCAGGAGGCCCAGCCGGCUUGGCAUGCCCAAGGCCCCUUGCUGCUUCCCAUACCCCAGCAUACUACCCUGUGGAUCUCAUUAAAAAAAAUAAUAAUAAUAAUAAUCCUGAAAUCCUUAUUAAAUGCCAUUGCUACACAGACCCAAAAAGCCAAAAUUAUAUACGGAGAGGAGCACCUGUGCCUUUCUAGGUAUGCUGGCACAGGACCAUAAACAUUUACUAAAACCAGUGCCCGAGAGCAUGACAAAUGACAUCCCAGAGGGACGCCCUGCUCCGCCUGCUCUGUCCCCCAGAGAGAACUACCUCACCUCCUCACAGGAGACUGAACAUCGAAAGGGAUGUAAGCAAUGUCCCUG
ensembl:lncRNA